rnacentral:misc_RNA from 1 species
ACAAAUACAUAUAGAAAUUUUCAUGUUAUUACAUGGAAACUAGUUGUAAUACAGUUGUGUCAAAUGACUCCCAGUAUACAAUUAUAAUCUGUUAUCUUGCAUAUUAUUAUUUAACACAGACUCAGUUGCAUAUAUCAUAGUGGACUUGGAAGCACCGAACGAGUACGGAUGCUGAUCAAAUUUUUUCUGAUCGCACAGAUCGUGCUGUCGAGGACCGGAUUCGUCGACGCAGGGUCUGAGCAUGCACUGCAUCAGGCCUAUCUACUGCUACCUCCGGCUGUCUGCCCUGCUGGCUUCAUCGGACAAAACAAGUCGCAGGAAGCUGUACCACGUGCACUGCACUGGGACCACCUGACCAGCACGGUGACGUCGACGGAGACAUCGUGGCACCCGGAUAAAAGCAGCAGCCUUUUCGACGUUCCCUUCAGUGGACUUGGAAGCACCGAACGAGCACGGAUGCUGAUCAAAUUUUUUCUGAUCGCACAGAGUUCAUCACUUGUGCAUGUGCAACACAUUGGCGGAGGCAAUACGAACUGCAUUUCUUACUAGCUGGACAAGUCAGAAUGACAAUGCACCUUGGAGAACAAGACUCGAAUUGUGAAAGUCUGGUGGUUUCACAGAACUUUGUUUUAUGUCAAGAUGGGCUGACACCAUGUCACCUGAUGCUGUCACUCUCUGGUAAGCAUGUUAAAAAAAUAAAAACAAUCCAGUUUGAACAGUAA